UUCUGGUUGAUCCUGCCGGAGGCUACCGCUAUUGGAGUUCGAUUAAGCCAUGCGAGUCGAGAGUCUUAGGGACUCGGCGUACCGCUCAGUAACACGUGGGUAACCUGCCCUAUGCUGGGGAAUAACCUCGGGAAACUGAGAAUAAUACCCCAUAGUUCACCACGCCUGGAACGGUGGGUGGAUGAAAGCUCCGGCGGCAUAGGAUGGGCCUGCGACGUAUCAGGUUGUAGGGGGUGUAACGUACCCUCUAGCCAUCAACGCGUACGGGUGUUGGGAGACAUAGCCCGGAGAUGGAUUCUGAGACACGAAUCCAGACCCUACGGGGUGCAGCAGGCGCGAAAACUUGGCAAUGCGAGCAAUCGUGACCAGGGAACUCCAAGUGGCUGGGGUAAUACCCAGUUUUUUCUUGACUCUUCAAAGGUCUUGGAAUAAGGGGUGGGUAAGGACGGUGCCAGCCGCCGCGGUAAUACCGGCGCCUCAAGUGGUAGUCGCUUUUAUUGGGCCUAAAACGUCCGUAGCCGGUCUGGUGCAUUCGUGGGUAAAUCAACCCGCUCAACGGGUUGAAUUCUGCGAGCACGGCCAGACUUGGGACCGGGAGAGGUGUGGGGUACUCUCAGGGUAGGGGUAAAAUCCUGUCAUCCUGAGAGGACCACCUGUUGCGAAGGCGCCACACUAGAACGGAUUCGACGGUCAGGGACGAAACCUAGGGGCACGAACCGGAUUAGAUACCCGGGUAGUCCUAGGUGUAAACGCUGUGGACUUGAU
rnacentral:rRNA from 1 species